UUUUUCAUAAUCCUAUAUGAAAUAGUAAUUAUUUUAUAAAUAUUAUUCAAUCAUAAUUUGUUAUUUUCAUCCUAUAAUCUCUCAAGUUCUUCUCUCUUUGAUUUUCCACUCUACCUAAAAAUUCUCGAUCUAGUUUAUAAGCUCAAUAUAAGCUUUUUAAAAUAAGUUCAACCAAACACCCUCUAAGAUAUUGUCCUAAAAAAUUCUCUAACUCUUCGUCUAUGUAUGUAAUAGAUAAUGUCGCACAAAUUUACGAUAGAGGAUCUUAAUAUGAGCCAUUUUUGUGCAGUUGAUAGCAUGGAAAGAUGGAGUGAGCAACCUGUUGGUGGAUACAGAUGAAAUA
rnacentral:lncRNA from 1 species